UUGAUCCAUGGCUCAGAUUGAACGCUGGCGGCAGGCCUAACACAUGCAAGUCGAGCGGUAGAGAGGUGCUUGCACCUCUUGAGAGCGGCGGACGGGUGAGUAAUGCCUAGGAAUCUGCCUGGUAGUGGGGGAUAACGCUCGGAAACGGACGCUAAUACCGCAUACGUCCUACGGGAGAAAGCAGGGGACCUUCGGGCCUUGCGCUAUCAGAUGAGCCUAGGUCGGAUUAGCUAGUUGGUGAGGUAAUGGCUCACCAAGGCGACGAUCCGUAACUGGUCUGAGAGGAUGAUCAGUCACACUGGAACUGAGACACGGUCCAGACUCCUACGGGAGGCAGCAGUGGGGAAUAUUGGACAAUGGGCGAAAGCCUGAUCCAGCCAUGCCGCGUGUGUGAAGAAGGUCUUCGGAUUGUAAAGCACUUUAAGUUGGGAGGAAGGGCAGUAACCUAAUACGUUGCGGUCUUGACGUUACCGACAGAAUAAGCACCGGCUAA
rnacentral:rRNA from 1 species